rfam:Brassica oleracea var. oleracea cultivar TO1000 chromosome C5, whole genome shotgun sequence
AGAAUAUAAGAACCCGUUUCUUAACUUUAAACUAAAAAUGCUAAGAGCCGGCUCUUAAAUAAGAGAUUUAAGAGCCGGCUCUUAAAUAGGAGAUUUAAGAGCCGGCUCUUAGUUUUUUUUAGUUAAAAGUUAAGAGACAGAUUCUUAUAUUCC